GAUGAACGCUGGCGGCGUGCCUAAUACAUGCAAGUCGAGCGAACAGACGAGGAGCUUGCUCCUCUGACGUUAGCGGCGGACGGGUGAGUAACACGUGGAUAACCUACCUAUAAGACUGGGAUAACUUCGGGAAACCGGAGCUAAUACCGGAUAAUAUAUUGAACCGCAUGGUUCAAUAGUGAAAGACGGUUUUGCUGUUACUUAUAGAUGGAUCCGCGCCGCAUUAGCUAGUUGGUAAGGUAACGGCUUACCAAGGCAACGAUGCGUAGCCGACCUGAGAGGGUGAUCGGCCACACUGGAACUGAGACACGGUCCAGACUCCUACGGGAGGCAGCAGUAGGGAAUCUUCCGCAAUGGGCGAAAGCCUGACGGAGCAACGCCGCGGGAGUGAUGAAGGUCUUCGGAUCGUAAAACUCUGUUAUUAGGGAAGAACAAAUGUGUAAGUAACUAUGCACGUCUUGACGGUACCUAAUCAGAAAGCCACGGCUAACUACGUG
rnacentral:rRNA from 1 species